UACAGAGGGGGCAAGCGUUGUUCGGAAUUACUGGGCGUAAAGGGCGCGUAGGCGGCCUUCUAAGUCGAACGUGAAAUCCCCGGGCUCAACCCGGGAACUGCGUCCGAUACUGGAAGGCUUGAAUCCGGGAGAGGGAUGCGGAAUUCCAGGUGUAGCGGUGAAAUGCGUAGAUAUCUGGAGGAACACCGGUGGCGAAGGCGCCACUCUGGGCCGAAACUGACGCUGAGGAGCGAAAGCGUGGGUAGCAAACAGG
rnacentral:rRNA from 1 species